GUUAGCGGCGGACGGGUGAGUAACACGUGGGUAACCUACCUAUAAGACUGGGAUAACUUCGGGAAACCGGAGCUAAUACCGGAUAACAUUUGGAACCGCAUGGUUCUAAAGUGAAAGAUGGUUUUGCUAUCACUUAUAGAUGGACCCGCGCCGUAUUAGCUAGUUGGUAAGGUAACGGCUUACCAAGGCGACGAUACGUAGCCGACCUGAGAGGGUGAUCGGCCACACUGGAACUGAGACACGGUCCAGACUCCUACGGGAGGCAGCAGUAGGGAAUCUUCCGCAAUGGGCGAAAGCCUGACGGAGCAACGCCGCGUGAGUGAUGAAGGGUUUCGGCUCGUAAAACUCUGUUAUUAGGGAAGAACAAACGUGUAAGUAACUGUGCACGUCUUGACGGUACCUAAUCAGAAAGCCACGGCUAACUACGUGCCAGCAGCCGCGGUAAUACGUAGGUGGCAAGCGUUAUCCGGAAUUAUUGGGCGUAAAGCGCGCGUAGGCGGUUUCUUAAGUCUGAUGUGAAAGCCCACGGCUCAACCGUGGAGGGUCAUUGGAAACUGGGAAACUUGAGUGCAGAAGAGGAAAGUGGAAUUCCAUGUGUAGCGGUGAAAUGCGCAGAGAUAUGGAGGAACACCAGUGGCGAAGGCGACUUUCUGGUCUGUAACUGACGCUGAUGUGCGAAAGCGUGGGGAUCAAACAGGAUUAGAUACCCUGGUAGUCCACGCCGUAAACGAUGAGUGCUAAGUGUUAGGGGGUUUCCGCCCCUUAGUGCUGCAGCUAACGCAUUAAGCACUCCGCCUGGGGAGUACGACCGCAAGGUUGAAACUCAAAGGAAUUGACGGGGACCCGCACAAGCGGUGGAGCAUGUGGUUUUAUUCGAAGCAACGCGAAGAACCUUACCAAAUCUUGACAUCCUUUGAAAACUCUAGAGAUAGAGCCUUCCCCUUCGGGGGACAAAGUGACAGGUGGUGCAUGGUUGUCGUCAGCUCGUGUCGUGAGAUGUUGGGUUAAGUCCCGCAACGAGCGCAACCCUUAAGCUUAGUUGCCAUCAUUAAGUUGGGCACUCUAGGUUGACUGCCGGUGACAAACCGGAGGAAGGUGGGGAUGACGUCAAAUCAUCAUGCCCCUUAUGAUUUGGGCUACACACGUGCUACAAUGGACAAUACAAAGGGCAGCUAAACCGCGAGGUCAUGCAAAUCCCAUAAAGUUGUUCUCAGUUCGGAUUGUAGUCUGCAACUCGACUACAUGAAGCUGGAAUCGCUAGUAAUCGUAGAUCAGCAUGCUACGGUGAAUACGUUCCCGGGUCUUGUACACACCGCCCGUCACACCAC
rnacentral:rRNA from 1 species